CCCUUAGAUGGUCUGGGCCGCACGCGCGCUACACUGAUGCAUUCAACGAGUCUAAAACCUGCUCUGAUAGGGGUGGGUAAUCUUUUGAAUGUGCAUCGUGAUUGGGAUAGAUGAUUGCAAUUUUUCAUCUUCAACGAGGAAUGCCUAGUAAACGCAAGUCAUCAGCUUGCAUUGAUUACGUCCCUGCCCUUUGUACACACCGCCCGUCGCUCCUACCGAUUGAAUGAUCCGAUGAAUAUCAUGGAUUGAGGAUGCAAGUAGGUUAGCCUAUCUUCAUCUUCGAGAAGUGAAGUAAAUCUUAUCAUUUAGAGGAAGGAGAAGUCGUAACA
rnacentral:rRNA from 1 species